AUGGUUAGAGCCAGGCUCCUCACCAGCCCCACGCAGGGGAUGAAGUGCAGGGAUUGGUGUGCAGCUCAGUGUGCAGGGGAUGGAGUGGAGGGGAGAGUGUGCAGGGAUUGGUGUGCAGCUCAGUGUGCAGGGGAUGGAGUGGAGGGGAGAGUGUGCAGGGAUUGGUGUGCAGCUCAGUGUGCAGGGGAUGGAGUGGAGGGGAGAGUGUGCAGGGAUUGGUGUGCAGCUCAGUGUGCAGGGGAUGGAGUGGAGGGGAUGGAGUGUAGCUCAGUGUGCAGGGGAUGGAGUGCAGGGGAUGGAGUGCUGCUCAGCCUGCCUGGCCACUGGUGCUCUGAGCCAAGGGUGUCAGGCAACACCUGCAGGGCUUGUCCCAGAGCCUGGUGUGGGACAGCCUUACCUCAUCCCAUACCUGGGGACACCCACAUGGUGAAGUGCAGGAGGUCUUCAUGUCCCCUCCUUCCUCUUUCCUCUUCUGCACAUCCCAGAGGGAAGGAGGGAUGAGCACCUGAAGCCCAGCUGAGUUCUUGCAGUAGAGACUGCAGCACAGGUUCCAGCAGCUGGAUAACAUCUGUUUGCAGCACACUCAGACAUAAGCUUACCUUUAAGGGGUUGCAAGUCUUAUCCCUAUUCCUGCAUGAUGUUCUACAAGGUAAUGACAAUUUAC
rnacentral:lncRNA from 12 species